rnacentral:lncRNA from 1 species
UGUGAUCACCAUCACCAAAUGUGAAAUCUAAAGGCUGCUCUAUAUAGAUAUCUUCCUCAAGAUAUUCAUUCAGAAAAGUAGUUUUUACAUCAUCUAUCAAAUUUUAUAAUCAUAAUAAGCUGCAAUAGCAAACAGAGUGCGAAUAGACUUCAGCAUGGCUAUGAACAAGAAGAUUUCUUGAUAGUCAAUGCCCUCGUGUUGGCUAUAAUCUUUUACC